rnacentral:rRNA from 1 species
AUUGAACGCUGGCGGCAUGCUUUACACAUGCAAGUCGAACGGCAGCACGGACUUCGGUCUGGUGGCGAGUGGCGAACGGGUGAGUAAUACAUCGGAACGUACCCAGUAAUGGGGGAUAACUAUCCGAAAGGAUAGCUAAUACCGCAUACGCCCUACGGGGGAAAGAGGGGGAUCGCAAGACCUCUUGUUAUUGGAGCGGCCGAUGGCUGAUUAGCUAGUUGGUAGGGUAAAGGCCUACCAAGGCAACGAUCAGUAGCGGGUCUUAGAGGACGAUCCGCCACACUGGAACUGAGACACGGUCCAGACUCCUACGGGAGGCAGCAGUGGGGAAUCUUGGACAAUGGGCGCAAGCCUGAUCCAGCAAUGCCGCGAGCGUGAAGAAGGCCUUCGGGUUGUAAAGCGCUUUUGUCAGGGAGCAAAUCCUUGUGGCUAAUACCCACCGGGGAUGAGAGUACCUGAAGAAUAAGCACCGGCUAACUACGUGCCAGCAGCCGCCGUAACAC